rnacentral:rRNA from 1 species
AGUGAACGCUGGCGGUAGGCCUAACACAUGCAAGUCGAACGGCAGCACAGUAAGAGCUUGCUCUUACGGGUGGCGAGUGGCGGACGGGUGAGGAAUACAUCGGAAUCUACUUUUUCGUGGGGGAUAACGUAGGGAAACUUACGCUAAUACCGCAUACGACCUACGGGUGAAAGCAGGGGAUCUUCGGACCUUGCGCGAUUGAAUGAGCCGAUGUCGGAUUAGCUAGUUGGCGGGGUAAAGGCCCACCAAGGCGACGAUCCGUAGCUGGUCUGAGAGGAUGAUCGGCCACACUGGAACUGAGACACGGUCCAGACUCCUACGGGAGGCAGAAGUGGGGAAUAUUGGACAAUGGGCGCAAGCCUGAUCCAGCCAUACCGCGUGGGUGAAGAAGGCCUUCGGGUUGUAAAGCCCUUUUGUUGGGAAAGAAAAGCAGCAGGUUAAUACCCCGCUGUUCUGACGGUACCCAAAGAAUAAACACCGGCUAACUUCGU